rnacentral:rRNA from 1 species
AGUGAACGCUGGCGGUAGGCCUAACACAUGCAAGUCGAACGGCAGCACAGUAAGAGCUUGCUCUUACGGGUGGCGAGUGGCGGACGGGUGAGGAAUACAUCGGAAUCUACUUUUUCGUGGGGGAUAACGUAGGGAAACUUACGCUAAUACCGCAUACGACCUACGGGUGAAAGCAGGGGAGCUUCGGACCUUGCGCGAUUGAAUGAGCCGAUGUCGGAUUAGCUAGUUGGCGGGGUAAAGGCCCACCAAGGCGACGAUCCGUAGCUGGUCUGAGAGGAUGAUCAGCCACACGGGAACUGAGACACGGUCCAGACUCCUACGGGAGGCAGCAGUGGGGAAUAUUGGACAAAGGGCGCAAGCCUGAUCCAGCCAUACCGCGUGGGUGAAGAAGGCCUUCGGGUUGUAAAGCCCUUUUGUUGGGAAAGAAAAGCAGCAGGUUAAUACCCCGCUGUUCUGACGGUACCCAAAGAAUAAGCACCGGCUAACUUCGUG